UACAGAGGAUGCGAGCGUUAUCCGGAUUUAUUGGGUUUAAAGGGUGCGUAGGCGGUUUUUUAAGUUAGUGGUUAAACGUCGGGGCUUCACCUUGAUUUGCCAUUAAUACUGUAAGACUCGAGUUCAGACGAGGUAGGCGGAAUAAGUUAAGUAGCGGUGAAAUGCUUAGAUAUAACUUAGAACUCCGAUAGCGAAGGCAGCUUACCAGACUGCGACUGACGCUGAAGCACGAGAGCGUGGGUAGCGAACAGG
rnacentral:rRNA from 1 species